rnacentral:sRNA from 1 species
GAAGUGGUCCUACCUUAGCGGUCAGCGCGGGGUCUCCCGGGGCCCUGCAGGGCGGGCAGGCUGUGCUAUCCCGCAGCCAGACGUCGGGAUGGUGCAGCUGUACAACCUGCACCCGUUCGGGUCGCAGCAGGUGGUGCCCUGCAAGCUGGAGCCGGACCGGUUCUGCGGCGGGGGGCGUGACGCGCUUUUCGUGGCGGCGGGCUGCAAGGUGGAGGCGUUCGCGGUGGCCGGCCAGGAGCUGUGCCAGCCACGGUGCGCCUUCUCCACGCUGGGCCGGGUGUUGCGCCUGGCCUACAGCGAGGCUGAAAGGCCUCUGGCUGGAUUCCACUCAUCUCGGAUACUUAAGCAAACAAUAACAAAAAACUCUUCAGUGCAUCAGAUUUCACAGACUUACCAAAAAAACAAGUAGGAAUAAGGAGACUAGUACUGUAUCCUGGAACCUCCAAGUACUCCCAGCUUUAACAAUCAUUCCACCUCUUGGCAGUUCUUUCACAUCUGUACCUCCAUCCACUUCCGGUCGGUUUUUGAAAGCUCACAUUAUGUGUUGAUUUUUAAAUGU